AUGCGAUGGAUGCCUCAAUUUUGCCAUGGCCUAGUCGAUAAUCGUUGUGUAAAGUGGAUUCCCCUCGUCAGCCGUGAGUGGGCGCGGGUGGUGGCGGGCCUGGCCGUCGUCAUCGGCGUCGGAGCCCCGUCCAUUCGGCGAGCUUAUAAAACUGCUGCUGAGGAGCCCCAUUUGUGCAGACUGUGCGUCCAUCUCAGACCAGAAGCUAUCUACCCGAUCAAACAAGAAAGAAGAGCAGCAGAGCCGUGUUUAAUCAACCGUGAGCUUCCGUCCGCAUCAUCUCGUCAAGGUCGACCAAUGGUGUUUUUGGGAGGAUCAUUGCGCGUGACGCGGAGCAUCGGCAGCCGGAAGAUGACGGAGGGGAAGAGCCACAGAGGGUCAGGGGCGUGGCGGCAGGCGCCGGCGCCCGUGAGGCAGCUCUUCUGGAGGGUGAGGCGCGCCAUGCUGCGGCCGAAGCGCCGCGUCGCGAGCUUCGGGUAUGACCUCAAGAGCUACUCCCACAACUUCGAUGACGGCCUCGUCCCUGCUCACCGCCUGUAG
rnacentral:rRNA from 1 species